GCGUGCUCUGGUCCAGGGGGUCACGAAGAGUCGGACACGACUAAACGACUAAACAACAACAACAACGAACAACGCUCCAGUCUGGGCUGCGCUGCUCCUCCGCUUCCUGGCCGAGGGACCGAGGGAGAUGCUCAGAGCCCAGCCAAGAGCCAAAGGCCCCCCCAAAAAAGGGACCGAGGGAGAUGCUCAGAGCCCAGCCAAGAGCCAAAGGCCCCCCCCCAAAGGGACCGAGGGAGAUGCUCAGAGCCCAGCCAAGAGCCAAAGGCCCCCCAAAAAAGGGACUGAGGGAGAUGCUCAGAGCCCAGCCAAGAGCCAAAGGCCCCCUAAAAGGGACCAAGGGAGAUGCUCAGAGCCCAGCCAAGAGCCAAAGGCCCCCCCAAAGGGACCGAGGGAGAUGCUCAGAGCCCAGCCAAGAGCCAAAGGCCCCCCAAAAAGGGACCGAGGGAGAUGCUCAGAGCCCAGCCAAGAGCCAAAGGCCCCCCAAAAAGGGACCGAGGGAGAUGCUCAGAGCCCAGCCAAGAGCCAAAGGCCCUCCCCCAAAGGGACCGAGGGAGAUGCUCAGAGCCCAGCCAAGAGCCAAAGGCCCCCCCAAAAGGGAUUGAGGGAGAUGCUCAGAGCCCAGCCAAGAGCCCAAGGCCCCCCCAAAAAGGAUCCCUUGCCAUAGGCGGAGCCAGGUGGAAGGUGCCCCCUUAGAGCCAUUCAAAAUGACAGAAAUUAAUAGAAAUCAAAGUUCUGCC